rnacentral:rRNA from 1 species
GACGAACGCUGGCGGCGUGCUUAACACAUGCAAGUCGAACGGAAAGGCCCUGCUUUUGUGGGGUGCUCGAGUGGCGAACGGGUGAGUAACACGUGAGUAACCUGCCCUUGACUUUGGGAUAACUUCAGGAAACUGGGGCUAAUACCGGAUAGGAGCUCCUGCUGCAUGGUGGGGGUUGGAAAGUUUCGGCGGUUGGGGAUGGACUCGCGGCUUAUCAGCUUGUUGGUGGGGUAGUGGCUUACCAAGGCUUUGACGGGUAGCCGGCCUGGGAGGGUGACCGGCCACAUGGGGAUGGAGAUACGGCCCAGAUUCCUACGGGAGGAAGCAGUGGGGAAUAUUGCACAAGGGGCGAAAGCCGGAUGCAGCAACGCCGCGUGCGGGAUGACGGCCUUCGGGUUGUAAACCGCUUUCGCCUGUGACGAAGCGUGAGUGACGGUAAUGGGUAAAGAAGCACCGGCUAACUACGU